rnacentral:rRNA from 1 species
AUACGUAGGUGACAAGCGUUAUCCGGAUUUACUGAGCGUAAAGGGCGUGUAGGCGGUCUUGCAAGUCAGAAGUGAAAUUACUGAGCUCAACUCGGGCGCUGCUUCUGAAACUGCAGGACUUGAGUGCUGGAGGGGAUAGCGGAAUUCCUAGUGGAGCGGUAAAAUGCGCAGAUAUGAGGAAGAACACCGGUGGCGAAGGCGGGUAUCUGGACAGUAACUGACGCUGAGGCGCGAAAGCGUGGGGAGCAAACAGGAUUAGAUACCCUGGUAGUCCACAAUGUAAACGACGAUUGCUAGGUGUGGGGGGUCUGACCCCUUCCGUGCCGCAGUUAACGCAAUAAGCAAUCCACCUGGGGAGUACGGCCGCAAGGCUAAAACUCAAAUGAAUUGGCGGG